GAGAAAAUAAAAAUCAAAGACAUAAAACAAUUAGAAUCCCAAGAAUUUGAAAUAACCAAUGAUAAUGCAACACCACUGUGCAAAAUCCAUCAAUUGAUAUUUUAGAGGAAAAACUGAUGCAACAUAGAUCUUCUUUAGCAAUAUGUAUGCUCAAGACAAGAUCAAUAUUGCUAAAAUGACCUUUUACCUCAAUUUUUAUCAAGUGUUUGUUACAUGAUAGCAGGGUGAUAAUAUUGGAUGUAAGUGGGCAAUUAGGCAUCAAAUUUUUCUUACUCCCAAACAUUAAGUAGAAGAACAAAUCCAAAUAAUACACUCUUCAUUUACACUUUUCCUGUAGCUUAGGACUCGUGCAACUUUGCUAUAACA
rnacentral:misc_RNA from 1 species